ACGACCUUACUUGAACAGGAUCUAGUCUAUAGGCUCGUACCUCUGUAUCCUUGAUUUCUAAGGAGACAGGUCCUAAACCCUGGUGGAUGAACAAUGACCGUGCGAUUAGAGCGUGAUUAACGGCCACGAUCAUCUUCUGGAUGUUUCCGGUGCUGUAGAGGAUCGUUUCUCGGUUCGGUCUUACCCUAGCUGGGGUGGUCUCACGGCGGUCUGACAGGUU
rnacentral:snoRNA from 1 species